GUCUCUGUGGCGCAAUUGGUUAGCGCGUUCGGCUGUUAACCGAAAGGUUGCUGGUUUAAGCCCAGCCAGGGACG
rfam:Ciona savignyi cont_35354, whole genome shotgun sequence.